rnacentral:rRNA from 1 species
UACGAAGGGUGCAAGCGUUACUCGGAAUUACUGGGCGUAAAGCGUGCGUAGGUGGUGAGUUAAGUCUGUCGUGAAAGCCCCGGGCUCAACCUGGGAAUGGCGAUGGAUACUGGCUCGCUAGAGUGCGGUAGAGGAGAGUGGAAUUCCCGGUGUAGCAGUGAAAUGCGUAGAGAUCGGGAGGAACAUCAGUUGCGAAGGCGGCUCUCUGGACCAGCACUGACACUGAGGCACGAAAGCUAGGGGAGCGAACUGG